GAUUGUUAGUCUCGUUGCAGGGAGUUUAUUGCUAACAUUUUUGUUUGCUUUGUAGCUCAUAUUUUUAUUCGUGAUAAAACUAAGAAAAGUGUGCUGAACUGUAACAAUCUAGUCGCUGAAGAUUUGAUGAGUUUAUCAUGUGUACCAACGUAGAUCUGGUGUAGGUAUAUCGAAGAACACGAAAUGCGAAAUGAAAAACUUCAGCCGUCAUCGCCGGUUCGGCGGGAUGUCCCACUGGACUUAUCGUUACAACGUCCAGGUUCACUGAGUCAUCCAAUUAACACUUCGGUACAUCGCCUGGGACUGAGUUAGACAAACCGAAAUUGUCUUCGAUUACUCAUGAAGCAUCGAGUACGCUGGAUAUCGUUUUUGAUGAGCAAACCGUUGCCAACACAGCCACUGAAGGUAUCACUGGUUCGGAAAUCAAAACAAACCAAUUAUAUAGCAGCGAAAUUUUGUCGUAAGCUGGGAGCAGAUGUUAACAUCCAUGUUAAAUGAUAAGUUUGAUGACUCUUUCGAAAAUUUAAACAAAAAUGCUUUGUUCUAGUUUCAAUUUUUUUUAUUCACAGACGAUAUGCCGAGAUGUGGCAAUAUUACGUCAGAGGCACUUAGGAAUUUCUUACAAUUUCCUAAGCCUCCAUCACGCUCAACAGUUCACCGUAACUACAAACGGAAAACCUUUGCUGUUUUGACAGCCGUGGAACGACUGGGCGAAUUAGAAUUAGCUGCAAAUAUAAAAAAAGAAUCAGCGAGGCAACGGAUUGAAAAAACAGAGAUGCGAAACAGGAAAAAACAUGCAGAUUGAAGAACAAAAAACAAGACGACAACUCGCACUACAGAGAAAGACAGCUAGAGAGGAAACCAAACGUCUGAAGGAGGAGGAAAAAAAAACUACAUUAGAAGAGAAGAAAAAACAUGCAAACAGCGAAAUAAAACCUUGAGCGAAAUACAAAAUGAUAUAAAUGUAAGAGAAGCACUCGAAGAAGCAAUAAUUAUAACACAGCAGCUCAUAAAGUAGUUCUGGUGAGUUUCACUCACUCUAACUUACCAAUAUCAAUAUCAACCAAAAAAUCAAAUUCAUAAAAAUAU